AUAUUACACAUUUUUUUAGUGCAGAUGUUUAUCUAGCCGGAACAGUCAUGCUAAUAUUUGGUAUGGGCUUAUAUGGAUUAUUCAUCAGCAAUGUGCCCCCAGACGUGCCUGCUAAUGUUGAUCGUGCUCUCAAAAGCUCUUCAUUAUUUGGAAUGUUUUCUUUAAAGGAGAGGCCAAAGUGGAUGAAAAUCAGCUCGCUCGAUGAGCUGA